rnacentral:pre_miRNA from 1 species
UGAUAUGUUUGUUAUUUGGUUGGUGAUGUUACCAAUCAACCAGUAUCAGACAUAUAUCC